CCUACGGGAGGCAGCAGUGGGGAAUAUUGCACAAUGGGGGAAACCCUGAUGCAGCGACGCCGCGUGAGUGAAGAAGUAUUUCGGUAUGUAAAGCUCUAUCAGCAGGGAAGAAAAAAGACGGUACCUGACUAAGAAGCCCCGGCUAACUACGUGCCAGCAGCCGCGGUACUACGUAGGGGGCAAGCGUUAUCCGGGUUUACUGGGUGUAAAGGGAGCGUAGACGGAGAAGCAAGUCUGAAGUGAAAGCCCGUGGCUUAACCACGGGACUGCUUUUGAAACUGUUUGACUAGAGUGCUGGAGAGGUAAGUGGAAUGCGUGGUGUAGCGGUGAAAUGCGUAGAUAUUAGGAGGAACACCAGUGGCGAAGGCGGCUUACUGGACAGUAACUGACGUUGAGGCUCGAAAGCGUGGGGAGCGAACAGGAUUAGAUACCCGGGUAGUC
rnacentral:rRNA from 1 species